GAGCCGUGCGGUGAGCACACAGCGAACUAUUCUUUCGCCUUUUACUAAAGAAUACCGUGUGCUCGCCGCUCAUUAGCGGCAUACGCCUAUUUUUGGAGGGUUUCCCUUUUUGGGUAACU